CCUAAUAGAGGGUGCCAUUAAGUAUACGUACCUCAAUGGAAUUGUUCCCAGAGGCGUAUAUACGGUCCCAAAGCUGCACAACGCAUACUUACCUGGCGUAGGGGUUACCGUGAUCAAUAAGGCGGUUCCCCCGGAGUGAGGCCCUUUCAUUGCACUUCGAUCGGGCUGACCUCUGCGAUUAUCCCUAAUGCGGAUAACUCGGGCGCGUAAUUUUUGGUAGUCGGGACUGCGUACGCGCUGUCCCGGAAU